rnacentral:rRNA from 1 species
GAUGAACGCUGGCGGCGUGCCUAAUACAUGCAAGUCGAGCGAACGGACGAGAAGCUUGCUGCACUGAUGUUAGCGGCGGACGGGUGAGUAACACGUGGAUAACCUACCUAUUAGACUUGGAUAACUUCGGGAAACCGGAGCUAAUACCGGAUGAUAUUUUUAACCGCAUGGUUCAAAAGUGAAAGACGGUCUUGCUGUCACUUAUAGAUGGAUCCGCGCUGCAUUAGCUAGUUGGUAAGGUAACGGCUUACCAAGGCAACGAUGCAUAGCCGACCUGAGAGGGUGAUCGGCCACACUGGAACUGAGACACGGUCCAGACUCCUAGGGAAGGCAGCGGUAGGGAAGCUUGGGAGAUGGGCGGAAGCCUGACGGAGCAGCGCCGGGUGGGUGAUGCGGGGCUGCGGAUCGUAAGACUCUGUUAUUAGUGAAGACCAUUUGUGUAAGUAACGGUGCACAUCGUGACGGUACCUAGUCAGGAAGCCACGGCUAACUACGUG